UACGAAGGGGGCGAGCGUUGUUCGGAUUUACUGGGCGUAAAGGGCGCGUAGGCGGCCUUGUCAGUCAGGCGUGAAAGCCCCGGGCUCAACCUGGGGACGGCGCUUGGGACGGCGAGGCUGGAGUUCGGGAGAGGAGAGUGGAAUUCCGAGUGUAGAGGUGAAAUUCGUAGAUAUUCGGAAGAACACCAGUGGCGAAGGCGACUUACUGGACACAUAUUGACGCUGAGGUGCGAAAGCGUGGGGAGCAAACAGG
rnacentral:rRNA from 1 species